rnacentral:rRNA from 1 species
GACGAACGCUGGCGGCGUGCCUAAUACAUGCAAGUAGGACGCAGUUGCGAACGGGUGAGUAACGCGUCGGUAACUGCCUAUUAGAGGGGGAUAACUAUUGGAAACGAUAGCUAAUACCGCAUACUAGUAGAUGGACCUGCGUUGUAUUAGCUAGUAGGUAGGGUAAUGGCCUCCCUUGGCGACGCUACAUAGCCGACCUGAGGAGGUGAUCGGCCAAACUGGGACUGAGACACGGCCCAGACUCCCAAGGGAGGGAGCAGGAGGGGAACUUCGGAAAUGGGGGGAAACCUGAACGAGCAACGCCGCGGGAGUGAAGAAGGUUUUCGGAUCGGAAAGCUCUGUUGUUAAGGAAGCGGUACUUAACCAGAAAGGGCCGGCUAACUACGUGCCAGCAGCCGCGGUAAUAC